rnacentral:rRNA from 1 species
GAGUUUGAUCUUGGCUCAGAGUGAACGCUGGCGGUAGGCCUAACACAUGCAAGUCGAACGGCAGCACAGUAAGAGCUUGCUCUUAUGGGUGGCGAGUGGCGGACGGGUGAGGAAUACAUCGGAAUCUACUUUUCGUGGGGAUAACGUAGGGAACUUACGCUAAUACCGCAUACGACCUACGGGUGAAAGCAGGGGAUCUUCGGACCUUGCGCGAUUGAAUGAGCCGAUGUCGGAUUAGCUAGUUGGCGGGGUAAAGGCCCACCAAGGCGACGAUCCGUAGCUGGUCUGAGAGGAUGAUCAGCCACACUGGAACUGAGACACGGUCCAGACUCCUACGGGAGGCAGCAGUGGGGAAUAUUGGACAAUGGGCGCAAGCCUGAUCCAGCCAUACCGCGUGGGUGAAGAAGGCCUUCGGUUGGUAAGUACCCGUUUGUUAGGGUAAGAAAGUACCAGCCGGCGUAACUACCU